GCAGACGCAGACGCAGACGCAGACCAAGAAGAAAUACAAUACACUAGCUACCAUGGCCGCUCUUUCCUCUGCCGCCGUCACCAUCCCUUCCAUGGCCCCCUCCGCUCCCGGGCGGAGGAGGAUGAGAUCUUCGCUGGUCGUGCGCGCCUCGCUCGGCAAGGCAGCCGGCGCGGCCGCAGUGGCCGUGGCCGCCAGCGCCAUGCUCGCGGGCGGCGCCAUGGCGCAGGAGGUGCUUCUCGGCGCCAAUGGCGGCGUGCUGGUGUUCGAGCCGAACGACUUCACCGUCAAGUCCGGCGAGACCAUCACGUUCAAGAACAACGCCGGCUUCCCUCACAACGUGGUGUUCGACGAGGACGCGGUUCCGAGCGGCGUCGACGUGUCCAAGAUAUCGCAGGAGGAGUACCUCAACGCCCCCGGCGAGACCUUCUCCGUCACGCUCACCGUCCCCGGCACAUACGGCUUCUACUGCGAGCCGCACGCCGGAGCUGGGAUGGUCGGCAAGGUCACCGUCAACUAAUUAUUCUUUCUUCUCAAUCUAAAUAUGCCUCCUACGGCUCUAUCCUAUAUAUAUAUAUAUCGAUUUGUCCAUCGCGAAUAUACUACGUACCGAUGAUCUGUUCCUCAGUUUUCUCUUGUGUGUAUGCAAGUGUGUAUCAAUUAUCAAUAGCAAUGAGACGAACAAUUCAACGAUAUAUUAUCUAUGUUGAUGAUUUGUG
rnacentral:misc_RNA from 1 species